UUUAAAGAGUGAACUCUACCCACCCAUUCCAGAUUGAGCCAAUUGCAAAGAUUUGUUUUGUACCCUAUGGGGGAUUCCAACAUACACUGCAAGGGGAAAUAGAUGUCAGAAAUGCAGUGCUUUAUCACUGUAAGCUAUCUGUCCAGAACCAGAUUUGCUUGCAAUGCACAUCAUUGUAUUAUCAAAUCAUACAAGUGGACUUCUGGUGACGCUUAUCGGCAUCCUGCCUGCACUGGAGCUGAACCAACUGGAUCCCAAACAAGUGUGACGCAGGGUCCAAAUGCCACAGCUGAAGCAACUACCAACCAUGCCUCUGCAGAAGUGGCCCACACCUCUGCAGAAGCGGCCCACGGCUCAGCUUAAGAAACUGCCAACCAUGCCUAGGCAGAAGCCAAUGGUCCCCACGCCUCAGCUGAAGCAACUGCCAACCAUACCUCUGCAGAAGCGUCCCGUGCCUCAGCUGAAGCAACUGCCAACCAUACGCCUGCAGAAGCGGCCGCCGGCCUUGAACAGAGACGGCCUGACCCCUCGACAAGCUAGAUAGGAGAUCAUAAUUUGGUUUGCCCAACUCCUUAAUCGUCUUUCCCCUGUUACUGUGCCUUCAUUUGAAGAAAAGGGCAAAGGUAACUGGAAUUGUGCAAACUAAUGCGCUUGUUUGAAAUGAGGAUCUCCUUCACUUGUGCAUCGUCAUGCAAAUUGUUUACAGGGGUGAACACUACAAUGGUAUGAAUUGUUUUCAAAACCAUACGACUAAAAUUGACAUCUGAUUUGGCCACUAUUGCUGACACUAAGGUUGUACGGUUAUGAUUUUGAUUUGUCCUGGUGUUCCUGCUACUCUUGCAUGAUUUGUUCAAUAAACUAUUUGACUUCCAAAA